UUAGCAUGUCCACUGAGGGACAACAGAAACGUGUUCCUGUGCAGCAGAAACAUAUUUCUGCAAUAAAAACCAGUUGUUAUUCUCUGUGGUCUUUGCAAAUGCUAUCUACUGGAAUCUGUGACUGUAUGGACAAAUUGGCUACAAAUGCCUAGGACUGCUGCUUUGAGAAACAUGACACAACUUUCCUUUCAUUAAUGCAAUACCUGAUGUUGUAAUGUAAAACCUCAGUAUUUACAAAUGAAGGGUUUGAACUCCAAAGGUGCUGAGUGGCCUCAGCAUAUGAGACGACCAGACACUGAAGACUUUCAGGAGUUCAGAGCAGCAAAGCAUCUUUAUUGUGAGAAGUCACUCUGGUCCCUUCACCCCAGCUCCGACUUUGGAACAAUUCAUCGCAAGCGAAGCGAAGUCUCAAGUAAUGUGGCCCUCUGGUGGAAAGCUCUGCAUCACCUCCUACGCGACCGAACCGCACAGUAAACCACCAGAUUCUGAAAACAGGCACUGCAAGGCUUCGGCACAACUUUUAUAAAUACGCCGCGGGAUUUUAAUCGCCAGGCGAGCGCGGUGGUGUGCAGCGGUGUCCGCAAGACGUUGCCACCACGAAAACAGGAUCCUGGCAUUUCAGCAUUAACGUGCACAAAAACAACAACAAAUAACGCCCCACGCUCUUCACUUGCAUGACACUUCACAUUCAGCACGCACAGAGGGUCUGCGGAGGGGUGCCCGUCCGAAAACAGCCCUUUUAUUUGUUUAAAAACAAACAGGAAGCAAAACAAACUUACCUGCUGUUGUUGCAGAUGCAGCAGUUCUACUGUGCUUACU